AUGCUCACUUUGGCAGCAUCUGCACUGUAAUUGGAAUGACGCAGAGAAGAUGACUGUAGCCCCUGUGCAAGGAUGAUUUGCAAAAUUGUGAAACUGAAUAUUAAAAA